UGGUAUCUUCGUUGCGGAGUCAUUCUUACUAAAAAUAACCUUAUUAAGAGGAACUAGCAUGGAAGCCCGCAAUGUGUCUUUCGUCACCAUGAUGAGACAAUAAAACAUUUACUCUUGCAAUGCAAAUUGGCUCAUUCUAUAUGGUCAGUCAUCUAAAUAGUUGCUCGCUUGUAUCCUCCUUGUAGUAUUGCUAAUGUAUUUGGCAACUGGUUACAUGGGAUUGACCAUAGGUUUAGAAUUCUUCUCAAGGUGGGAGAACUUACUAUUAUUUGGUUGCUUUGGCUAUGUAGAAAUUAUACUGGUUUUAAUGAUAAAAGUACUUCUCUGAUGCAGGUUAUCUACAGAUGUACCGGGACUCUCUGUUUAUGGUCAUCUUUACAACGUGUGGAGAAUCGAGACAUGUUUACGGAGGUGUGUACAUGA
rnacentral:rRNA from 1 species